rfam:Defluviimonas alba strain cai42, complete genome.
GGUUCGGGUGCUGGCCGGUGGGACGGUUGGCGGGAAUGGAACCUUAUCCCCUUCAUUCGGCGGCGUGUUCCGUGGCCCCGACGGAACGCG